UUGUCAAGGUUUGUUAAUCAUUACAUGUUUGAUUGAUUUAAAUAAUUGAGGAUGUACUUAAUAGAAAUAUUUAGCUUACAUUAUUUAAUAGAAAUCUCUGGUUCAUAAUCACUUUAUGAUUGUAUAAACAAAAUACAAAGGGUAAAAAAAUACGUACUGCUGAAAAAUUGUCAUUUUUUCCUUUUUUUUCUAUCUUUUAUGAGUAAUUUUCUUUCUUAUCUAUCAAAUGUACGGAACAAUUGAUUUCUGAUAUAGGUUAAUCUUUUGAAGGUUACACAUCUCUAACUUGUUUAUUUUGUCACUCUAUUCAUCUGUGUUUCCUCUUAUUUUCAAUUUUAUUCUUGCAUCACCAAUGAUUAUGAUAGGGUUUUUCGUAUUGUUUUGAUGAGAUUGAGAUGUUUGUUAGGAUUAUGAGGAUCUCACAAUAAUAAAGUUGGUGCUAAUGUAACACUAGAAAAAUGAUUGGGUUGGUUUCCUUUAAUACAUACGGUCUCAUUUUCAUUGUCUUGUAAUUAUUCUAUUUUCUUUUUUUCUUUUUCAUUUUCUUGUAAUUAUUCUUUUUUCUUUUUUUCUUUUUCAUUUUCUACUUAUAAUUAGUAUUUUAGCAUAUUUUUUAAUCUAUAUAACUUAUGUUAAUCGUUUAAUUAUCAGAAUAUAGAAGAUGACAUUUUAUGUUCUUUAGGAUAUAAGUAUAUAUUUAAUUAAUUUUGAUGUUCAAUACAUAUCUUUCUAAACUAAUUAAUGUCAAGGUUUGUUACUCAUUACAUGUUUGAUUGAUUUAUAUAAUUGAGGAUGUACUUAAUAUAAAUAUUUACUUUACAAUACUUAAUAGAAAACUCUGGUUCAUAAUCACUUUAUGAUUGUAUAAACAAAAUAAAAAGGGUAAAAAAAUACGUACUGCUGAAAAAUUGUCAUAUUUUCCUUUUUUUUCUAUCUUUUAUGAGUAAUUUUCUUUCUUAUCUAUCAAAUGUACAGAUCAAGUGAUUUCUGAUAUAGGUUGAUCUUUUGAAGGUUACACAUCUCUAACUUGUUUAUUUUGUCACUCUAUUCAUCUGUGUUUCCUCUUAUUUUCAAUUUUAUUCUUGCAUCACCAAUGAUUAUGAUAGGGUUUUUCGUAUUGUUUUGAUGAGAUUGAGAUGAUUGUUAGGAUUAUGAGGAUCUCACAAUAAUAAAGGUGAUGCUAAUGUAACACUGGAAAAAUGAUUGAGUUGGUUUCCUUUAUAUUAUACGGUCUCAUUUUCAUUUUCUUGUUAUUAUUCUAUUUUCUUUUUUCUUUUUCAUUUUCUUGUAAUUAUUCUAUUUUCUUUUUUGUUUUUCAUUUUCUUGUAAUUAUUCUAUUUUCUUUUUCUCUUUUUCAUUUUCUACUUAUAAUUAGUAUUUUAGCAUAUUUUUAAUCUGUAUAACUUAUGUUAAUUCUUAAUUAUCAGAAUAUAGAAGAUGAUAUUUUAUGUUCUUUAGGAUAUAAGUAUAAAUUUAAUUAAUUUUGAUGUUCAAUACAUAUCAUUCUAAACUAUUGAAUGUCAUGGUUUGUUACUCAUUACAUGUUUGAUUCAUAUAUAUAAUUGAGGAUAUACUUAAUAUAAAUAUUUAACUUACAUUAUUUAAUAGAAAUCUAUGGUUCAUAAUCACUUUAUGAUUGUAUGAAUAAAAUACAAAAGGUAAAAAAAUACGUACUGCUAUAAAAUUGUCAUAUUUUCCAUUUUUUCCUAUCUUUUAUGAGUAAUUUUCUUUCUUAUCUAUCAAAUGUACAGAUCAAGUGGUUUCAGAUAUAGGUUGAUCUUUUGAAGGUUACGAUUUUCCAUUUUUUCCUAUCUUUUAUGAGUAAUUUUCUUUCUUAUCUAUCAAAUGUACAGAUCAAGUGGUUUCAGAUAUAGGUUGAUCUUUUGAAGGUUACGCAUCUCUAACUUGUUUAUUUUGUCACUCUAUUCAUUCGUGUUUCCUCUUAUUUUCAAUUUUAUUCUUGCGUCACCAAUGAUUAUGAUAGGGUUUUUCGUAUUGUUUGGAUGAGAUUGAGAUGAUUGUUAGGAUUAUAAGGAUCUCACAAUAAUAAAGGUGACGCUAAUGUAACACUGGAAAAAUGAUUGAGGUAGUUUCCUUUAUACCAUACGGUCUCAUAUUCAUUUUCUUGUAAUUAUUCUUUUUUCUUUUUCUACAUAUAAUUAGUAUUUUAGCAUAUUUUUUAAUCUGUAUAACUUAUGUCUAUUGUUUAAUUAUUAGAAUAUAGAAGAUGACAUUUUAUGUUCUUUAGGGUAUAAGUAUAUAUUUAAUUAAUUUUGAUGUUCAAUACAUAUCUUUCUAAACGAUUUAUUGUCAAGGUUUGUUAAUCAUUACAUGUUUGAUUAAUUUAAAUACUUGAGGAUGUACUUAAUUGAAAUAUUUAGCUUACAUUAUUUAAUAGAAAUCUCUGGUUCAUAAUCACUUUAUGAUUGUAUAAACAAAAUACAAAGGCUAAAGAAAUACGUACUACGUAGAAAUUGUCAUAAUUUCAUUUUUUUCUAUAUUUUAUGAGUAAUUUUCUUUAUUAUCAAUCAAAUGUAUAAAUCAAGUGAUUUCUGAUAUAGGCUGAUAUUUUGAAGGUUACACAUCUCUAACUUGUUUAUUUUGUCACUCUAUUCAUCUGUGUUUCCUCUUAUUUUCAAUCUUAUUCCUGUGUCACCAAUGAUUAUGAUAGGGUUUUUUGUAUUGUUUUGAUGAGAUUGAGAUGUUUGUUAGGAUUAUGAGGAUCUCACAAUAAUAAAGGUGGUGCUAAUGUAACACUAGAAAAAUGAUUGAGUUGGUUUCCUUUAAUACAUACGAUCUCUUUUUCAUUUUCUUGUAAUUAUUCUUUUUUCUUUUUUUCUUUUUCGUUUUUUACUUAUAAUUAAUAUUUUAGCAGACUUUUAAUCUGUAUAACUUAUCUUCAUUGUUUAAUUAUCAGAAUAUAGAAGAUGACAUUUAAUGUUCUUUAGGAUAUAAGUAUAAAUUUAAUUAAUUUAUAUGUUCAAUACAUAUCUUUCUAAACUAUUUAAUGUCAAAGUUUGUUAGUCAUUACCUGUUUGAUUGAUGUAUAUAAUUGAGGAUGUACUUAAUAAAAAUAUUUAGCUUACAUUAUUUAAUAGAAAUCUCUGGUUCAUAAUCACUAUAUGAUUGUAUAAACAAAAUACAAAAGGUAAAAAAAUACGUAUUACUAUAAGAUUGUCAUAUUUUCCGUUUUUACCUAUCUUUUAUAAGUAAUUUUCUUUCGUAUCUAUCAAAUGUACAGAUCAAGUGGUUUCGGAUAUAGGUUGAUCUUUUGAAGGUUACACAUCUCUAACUUGUUUAUUUUGUCACUCUAUUCAUCUGUGUCUCCUCUUAUUUUUAAUUUUAUUCUUGCGUCACCAAUGAUUAUGAUAGGGUUUUUCGUAUUGUUUUGAUGAGGUUGAGAUGUUUGUUAGGAUUAUGAGGAUCUCACAAUAAUAAAGGUGAUGCUAAUGUAACAUUCGAAAAAUGAUUGAGUUUUUUUCCUUUAUACCAUACCGUCUCAUUUUCAUUUUCUUGUAAUUAUUCUUUUUUCUUUUUUUCUUUUUCUGUUUCUACUUAUAAUUAGUAUUUUAGCAUAUUUUUUAAUCUGUAUAACUUAUGUCAAUUGUUUAAUUAUUAGAAUAUAGAAGAUGACAUUUUAUGUUCUUUAGGAUAUAAGUAUAUAUUUAAUUAAUUUUGAUGUUCAAUACAUAUCUUUCUAAACUAUUUAAUGUCAAGGUUAGUUAAUCAUUACAUGUUUGAUUGAUUUAUAUAAUUGAGGAUGUACUUAAUAGAAAUAUUUAGCUUACAUUAUUUAAUAGAAAUCUCUUGUUCAUGAUCACUUUAUGAUUGUAUAAACAAAAUACAAAGGGUAAAAAAAUACGUACUGCAGAUAAAUUGUCAUAUUUUCUUUUUUUUUUCUAUCUUUUAUGAGUCAUUUUCUUUUUUAUCUAUCAAAUGUACAGAUCAAGUGAUUUCUAAUAUAGUUUGAUCUUUUGAAGGUAACACAUCUCUAACUUGUUUAUUUUGUCACUCUAUUCAUCUGUGUUUCCUCCUAUUUUAAAUUUUAUUCUUGCGUCACCAAUGAUUAUGAUAGGGUUUUUCGUAUUUUUUUGAUGAGAUUGAGAUGUUUGUUAGGAUUAUGAGGAUUUCACAAUAAUAAAGGGGAUGCUAAUGUAACACCAGAAAAAUGAUUGAGUUGGUUUCCUUCAAUACAUACGGUCUCAUUUAAAUUUUCUUGUAAUUAUUCUUUUUUCUUUUUUUCUUUUCCAUUUUCUUGUAAUUAUUCUUUUUUCUUUUUUUCUUUUUCAUUUUCUACUUAUAAUUAGUAUUUUAGCAUAUUUUUUAAUCUAUAUAACUUAUGUUAAUUGUUUAAUUAUCAGAAUAUAAAAGAUGACACUUUAUGUUCUUCAGGAUCUAAGUAUAUAUUUAAUUAAUUUUGAUGUUCAAUACAUAUUUUUCUAAACUAAUUAAUGUCAAGGUUUGUUACUCAUUACAUGUUUGAUUGAUUUUUAUAAUUGAGGAUGUACUUAAUAGAAAUACUUACCUUACAUUAUUUAAUAGAAAUCUCUGGUUCAUAAUAACUUUACGAUUGUAUAAACAAAAUACAAAGGGUAAAAAAAUACGUACUGCUGAAAAAUUGUCAUAUUUUCCUUUUUUUUCUAUCUUUUAUGAGUAAUAUUCUUUCUUAUCUAUCAAAUCUACGGAUCAAGUGAUUUCUGACAUAGGUUGAUGUUUUGAAGGUUACACAUCUCUAACUUUUUUAUUUUGUCACUCUAUUCAUCUGUGUUUAAUCUUAUUUUCAAUUUUAUUCUUGCGUCACCAAUGAUUAUAAUAGGGUUUUUCUUAUAGUUUUGAUGAGAUUGAGAUGUGAGUUAGUUUCCUUUAUACCACACGAUCUCAUUUUCAUUUUCUUAUAAUUAUUCUGUUUUAUUUUUUUCUUUUUCAUUUUCUACUUAUAAUUAGUCUUUUAGCAUAUUUUUUAAUCUAUAUAACUUAUGUCAAUUUUUAAUUAUCAGAAUUUAGAAGAUGACAUUUUAUGUUCCUAGGAUAUAAGUAUAUAUUUAAUUGAUUUUGAUGUUCAAUACAUAUCUUUUCAAACAAAUUAAUGUCAAGGUUUGUUACUCAUUACAUGUUUGAUUGAUUUAUAUAAUUGAGGAUGAACUUAAUAGAAAUAUUUACCUUACAUUAUUUAGUAAAAAUCUCUGGUUCAUAAUCUCUCCAUGAUUGUAUAAACAAAAUACAAUGGGUAAAAAAAUACGUAUUGUUGAAAAAUUGACAUAUUUUUCUUUUUUUUCUAUCAUUUAUGAGUAAUUUUCUUUCUUAUCUGUCAAAUGUACAUAUCAAGUGAUUUCUGAUAUAGGUUGAUCUUUGUAAGGUUACACAUCUCUAACUUGUUUAUUUUGUCACUCUAUUCAUCUGUGUUUCCUCUUAUUUUCAAUUUUAUUCUUGCCUCACCAAUGAUUAUGAUCGGGUUUUUUGUAUUGUUUUAAUGAGAUUAAGAUGUUUGUUAGGAUUGUGAGGAUCUCACAAUAAUAAAGGUGAUGCUAAUGUAACACUAGAAAAAUGAUUGAGUUGGUUUCCUUUAUACCACACGAUCUCAUUUUCAUUUUCUUAUAAUUAUUUUGUUUUCUUUUUCUCCUUUUCAUUUUCUACUUAUAAUUAGUCUUUUAGCAUAUUUUUUAAUUUGUAUAACUUAUGUUAAUUGUUUAAUUAUCAGAAUAUAGAAGAUGACAUUUUAUGUUCUUUAGGAUAUAAGUAUAUAUUUAAUUAUUUUGAUGUUCAAUACAUAUCUUUCUAAACAUUUAUUGUCAAGGUUUGUUAAUCAUUACAUGUUGAUUGAUUUAAUAAUGAGGAUGUACUUAAUAGAAAUUUUAGCUUACACUAUUUAAUAAAAUCUCUGGUUCAUAAUCACUUUAUGAUUGUAUAAACAAAAUACAAAGGCUAAAGAAAUAGUACUACGUAAAAUUGUCAUAUUUUCCUUUUUUUUCUAUCUUUUAUGAGUAUUUUCUUUUUAUCUAUCAAAUGUACAAAUCAAGUGAUUUCUGAUAUAGGUGAUCUUUUGAAGGUUACACAUCUCUAACUGUUUAUUUUGUCACUCUUAUCAUCUGUGUUUCCUCUUAUUUUCAAUUUUUUUUCCUCGUCACCAAUGAUUGAUGAUGGGUUUUGUAUUGUUUUGAUGAGAUUGAGAUGUUUGUAGGAUUAUGAGGAUCUCACAAAUAAUAAAGGUGUGCUAAUGUAACACUGGAAAAAUGAUUGAGUUGGUUUCCUUUAUACAACGUAUUAUUUCAUUUUCUUGUAAUUAUUCUUUUUCUUUUUUUCUUUUUCAUUUUCUUGUAUUAUUCUUUUAUUUUUUCUUUUCUUUUCUAUUAAUUAGAUUUUAGCAUAUUUUUUAAUCUAAUAACUAUGUUAAUUUUUAAUUAUCAGAAUAUAGAAGAUGACAUUUUAUGUUCUUUAGGAUAUAAGUAUAUAUUUAAUUAAUUUUGAUGUCAAUACAUAUUUUUCUAAACUAUUAAUGUCAAGGUUUGUUAAUCAUUACAUGUUGAUUGAUUUAAUAAUUGAGGAUUACUUAAUAAAAUAUUUGCUACAAUAUUUAAUAGAAAUUUCUGGUUCAUAAUCACUUUAUGAUUGUUAAACAAAUAUACAAAGGGUUAAAAAAAUACGUACUGCUGAAAAAUUGUCAUAUUUUCCUUUUUUUUCUAUCUUUUAUGAGUAAUUUUCUUUCUUAUCUAUAAAAGUACGAUCAAUUGAUUUCUGAUAUAGGUUAAUCUUUUGAAGGUUACACAUCUCUAAUUGUUUAUUUUGUCCUCUAUUCAUCUGUGUUUCCUCUUAUUUUCAAUUUAUUCUUCCUCACCAAGAUUAUGAUAGGGUUUUAUAUGUUUUAUGAAUAUUGAGAUGUUUGUAGGAUUAUGAGGAUCUCAAAUAAUAAAGGUGAUGCUAAUGUAACACUGGAAAAAUGAUUGAGUUGGUUUCCUUUAUACCAUACGUUCCAUUUUCAUUUUUCUUAAAUUAUUAUAUUUUCUNUACAUGUUUGAUUGAUUUAUAUAAUUGAGGAUGUACUUAAUAGAAAUAUUUAGCUUACAUUAUUUAAUAGAAAUCUCUGGUUCAUAAUCACUUUAUGAUUGUAUAAACAAAAUACAAAGGGUAAAAAAAUACGUACUGCUGAAAAAUUGUCAAAUUUUCCUUUUUUUUUCUAUCUUUUAUGAGUAAUUUUCUUUCUUAUCUAUCAAAUGUACAUAUCAAGUGAUUUCUCAUAUAGGUUGAUCUUUUAAAGGUUACACAUCUCUAACUUGUUUAUUUUGUCACUCUAUUCAUCUAUGUUUCCUCUUAUUUUCAAUUUUAUUCUUACGUCACCAAUGAUUAUGAUAGGGUUUUUCGUAUUCAUUUGAUGAGAUUUAGAUGUUUGUUAGAAUUUUGAGGAUCUCACAAUAAUAAAG
rnacentral:lncRNA from 1 species